CGGCGUGACUUAACACAUGCAAGUACGAACGGAUAGAAUAAGCUUGCUUAUUUCGUUAGUGGCGCACGGGUGAGUAAUGUAUAGCUAACCUGCCCUUUAGUGGGGGACAACAGUUGGAAACGACUGCUAAUACCCCAUACUCCAGCCUAUCAAAAGGUAGGUUGGGAAAGAUUUAUUGCUAAAGGAUGGGGCUUUAUGGUAUCAGCUAGUUGGUGGGGUAACGGCCUACCAAGGCAAUGACGCCUACCUGGUCUGAGAGGAUGAUCAGGCACACUGGAACUGAGACACGGUCCAGACUCCUACGGGAGGCAGCAGUGGGGAAUAUUGCACAAUGGGGGAAACCCUGAUGCAGCAACGCCGCGUGGAGGAUGACGCAUUUCGGUGUGUAAACUCCUUUUAUAAGGGAAGAUAAUGACGGUACCUUAUGAAUAAGCACCGGCUAACUCCGUGCCAGCCGCUGC
rnacentral:rRNA from 1 species